AUGCUUGAAAUAGUAAUUCAACCAUUAAACAUAAUAUUAUCGCACCAAAUAAUAAAUACAAAAGACAACAAUCCUAACAAAAAAUUGAUGUCAUUUGCCAUAUAUGUAUUAUUAUUGAAUGAAAUAUGAAAAGUUGAAAACCUAAAUUACUUAUAGGUAUUCGUAUAAAAAUGCACAUAUAAAUUUGAAAAUUAAUGCAUAUUAAAACACCUUUGACCUAUGUCGAAAUCAUUGUAAUUCCAAAUUAUUGCAAUAUUAAAACAACCAUGUGAAAUCUUAUGUACCAUAAAAAAGUAUCUACGCAAACCAUUAACAAAAAAGUAUUCCUAUGAGCAAUGGCUUUUUCAAAAAAGCAAACUGGAAACCAAAUAAAAAAACGUUGGCGUCAACUAAAUAAAAAUACACACAAGUAAUUGUAUGGAUGAAAAAGAAAUAAAAAAAAAUCGCCUUCAAUCGAGCAAUAGUAGAAAUAGAAGUAGCGUUUGAUCGACAAGAAUUUGACGUGAUUCGAAUGUGAUACCCUAUUGACGCAUAGAAGCGUGAGAUCAAUUCUCCCCCGAGUUAGGAAGACUUACAUCUAGUAAUUGUUGCACCGCUUUCAAAUAACCAGGUUUGAAUCCGUUGUCAGUACCACUAUCCUUUUCGGAUACAUGUAACUCCAACAAUGCUUCAAUCAAUUUUGCAUCUUCUUCACUAGUCCAUGUGUGUUUGUUUUGCCCUAAAAUGCCUACAAAAAAAUUUACAGUAGAUGCAUGAAAUAGUAAUUCAACCAUUAAACAUAAUAUUACCACACCAAAUGAUGAAUACAAAAGACAACAAUCCUAACAAAAAAUUGAUGUCAUUUGCCAUAUAUGUAUUAUUAUUGAAUGAAAUAUGAAAAGUUGAAAACCUAAAUUACUUAUAGGUAUUCGUAUAAAAAUGCACAUAUAAAUUUGAAAAUUAAUGCAUAUUAAAACACCUUUGACCUAUGUCGAAAUCAUUGUAAUUCCAAAUUAUUGCAAUAUUAAAACAACCAUGUGAAAUCUUAUGUACCAUAAAAAAGUAUCUACGCAAACCAUUAACAAAAAAAUAUUCCUAUGAGCAAUGGCUUUUUCAAAAAAGCAAACUAGAAACCAAAUAAAAAAACGUUGGCGUCAACUAAAUAAAAAUACACACGAGUAAUUGUAUGGAUGAAAAAGAAAUAAAAAAAAUCGUCUUCAACCGAGCAAUAGUAGAAAUAGAGGUAGCGUUUGAUCGACAAGAAUUUGACGUGAUUCGAAUAUGAUACCCUAUUGACGCAUAGAAGCGUGAGAUCAAUUCUCCCCCGAGUUAGGAAGACUUACAUCUAGUAAUUGUUGCACCGCUUUCAAAUAACC
rnacentral:lncRNA from 1 species